rnacentral:rRNA from 1 species
CUCUGUGACUCCUACGGGAGGCAGCAGUGGGAAUAUUGCACAAUGGGGGAAACCCUGAUGCAGUCCAUGCCGUCGUGUAGUGAAGUAAGGCCUUACGGGUUGUAAAGUCACUUUCAGUAGGGAGGAAGGUAGUGUAGUUAACACCUGCACUAUUUGACGUUACCUACAGAAGAAGCACCGGCUAACUCCGUGCCAGCAGCCGCGGUAAUACGGAGGGUGCGAGCGUUAAUCGGAAUUACUGGGCGUAAAGCGCAUGCAGGCGGCCUGUUAAGUCAGAUGUGAAAGCCCGGGGCUUAACCUCGGAAUUGCAUUUGAAACUGGCAGGCUAGAGUCUUGUAGAGGGGGUAGAAUUUCAGGUGUAGCGGUGAAAUGCGUAGAGAUCUGAAGGAAUACCAGUGGCGAAGGCGGCCCCCUGGACAAAGACUGACGCUCAGAUGCGAAAGCGUGGGGAGCAAACAGGAUUAGAUACCCUGGUAG